AUCUCCAGAGAGCGUGGCCCUCACCCUUGGGGCUUUAGGAAUUCAGAGAAAGGAAGAAAGGGUAUUAGCUACAUUGUGAAGACUCUGCUUGAGGCCACGCAUUCCAGAGAGAAGGAAGAGAGCAGGAAAAGUAACAUUGGUCAUGUGUCUACAGCAUGCCAGAAACUACCAUACGACAUCUUUUUACAUCUUCACAGUUAUCUAGUUUUACAAAGGAGGAAACUGAAACCCAGAGAAGGUACAUGUGGGUUCUGAGAGGUCCAACAACAAACAGGGCAGUUGGGCCCACCCAGAGCAACUGCAGCCCUUGGAGAUGGCCUGAAAUUGGACAAGGCCUGGAAUGAGGGUCUGGGCACCGCUCCCAGCAUCUGACCUUGGAUGGAGACAGCAGAGCUGUGGUUUGGGAGAUUUUCCUUCCUCAGCUAAGACCCACAGGAGCCUGUUGUAAGCAUCCAGGGCUGCGGAGAGAUGGAUGCACAGACAGGCAGACGGAUGUCCCACGAGAGGCUGCCAGGCCUCGGCAGCUGCCGCUGGAGACGGGUCACGGAAACCUCCGGAGGCCACCCCCUCCAGGGAGAUGGAUAAUGUUGGGAUUGGUGGGUCUGCCUCCUGGGAUGACGGCUGAAUGCUUUCUGCAUUCCGAAGCUCGUCACCUCCCCUCCCCAGCCCAGUUCUACCAGUGUGCGGUCCUCUGGGCCUGCCCUUCUCUGCCCUCCCAGUUAUCCGCUGCCCCCUCCCCUCCCACCUCCUCCAUGCUCCCUGCACUUCCUCCUUUCCUGGGUGUUAGCAGUGCAGUGCUUUACCGUUCACAAAGCACAUUUAUACACACUAGAUCAUUUGAUCCUUAGAAGAACCCUAUGCAGGAAGGGACGGAGGAACGGAGGAAGCAGAAGCUUCUGGAGAGAAGAGGUUUAAGGCUAUUAGAUGGCAUGCUCACACAGAUGUUCCAGUUGCCUCAGAUGUUGGCAGGAGUGGAGAUGGAGAAGAUGUCAGGGAGCCAGGAGCUAAAGUAGCCCACCAUGGGGGGACCAGGAGCUCGGAAACUUUCUAUCCCCAGUGCCCAGGGUACUGGGGGCACUUAGUAAAUGUUCAUCGACUGAUUGAAUAUGCCUGGUGUUCUCUUGGUAUCCCUGCCUUCUACUUGUUCUUAUGAAAAGACCUGAAAGCCACACUGAGAUGUAAGCAACUGGUGAUAGUUUUCAAGCGAUGCCUCACAAAGGAGUCAAUUCUUGUGUUACAGAUGUCAUUCCAGUGAGCAGACACUGGAGACUACAGUGGGAAGACCCAAGAGACGAGGACAGAGGAGAGGGCUUUCCCAGGCAGACCCCUGGCCUACCAAGGCUUCGGGGGCUCCCAGCUAGGGGUCACAGGAAGGAGACUUUGAUGGAGCAGAAAGGAAGCCCAGGAGGAGCUCUGGCAUCCCCUCCAAAGCCCCCCUCCCAGAGUCACAGAAUGGGAGGGGCGGAGGGACCUUAGAAGUGAUCUAGACCUUUGAUUAAAAAGAAAGGAUGUAUCCCUAAUUUCUACUGUUCUGUGUGGUGGCUUCAUUCACUCAGACCUUCUGGCAGCUCCUGGGUUUUGUCAUCCCAGCUUCCUAACCAGAAAGAAAACAGGGCUUCUCUCUCCUGGAUCAGGUUGGUGGGAAGGAUGCUGGGAACGGACUCCACAGUGGUCCAGCUUGAGGUAUGCUCACCACCCUAGCACCCACGAUGGUGGCCCUGGAAACAGCAUGACCCUGUGCAUAUUUGGGCUACAGGUUAAAGGAUGCAGAAGGAGGAAACGGCUCCCCAAGACAGAGGGUGAUCACAUACGUGGCCUCCAUGUGAACCGCGAGCUAAGCAAUCACCCCACACUGAGUCUACUACAAAGCAAGUUCAUUACAGCAUUUAGACACAUUCUGGUGUUUAUCGAUAGGGAAACAGGUGAACAAAUUAUGGUACCUCUUAUGGACUCCUAUGCAGCUGUUAAAAAGAUUGAAG